rnacentral:rRNA from 1 species
AGGACGAACGCUGGCGGCGUGCCUAAUACAUGCAAGUCGAACGGUCUUUCUAUGGAAGCUUGCUUCCACUGAGAAGAUAGUGGCGAACGGGUGAGUAACACGUGGGUAACCUGCCCAUAAGAGGGGGGAUAACAUCCGGAAACGGGUGCUAAUACCGCAUAGUUUUCUUGAUCGCAUGAUCGGGAAAGGAAAGACGGCCUUUGUGCUGUCGCUUAUGGAUGGACCCGCGGCGUAUUAGUUAGUUGGUGAGGUAACGGCUCACCAAGACGAUGAUACGUAGCCGACCUGAGAGGGUGAUCGGCCACAUUGGGACUGAGACACGGCCCAAACUCCUACGGGAGGCAGCAGUAGGGAAUCUUCCGCAAUGGACGAAAGUCUGACGGAGCAACGCCGCGUGAGUGAAGAAAGGGUUUUCGGAUCGUAAAACUCUGUUGUCAGAGAAGAACAAGUUGGAGAGUAACUGCUCCAGCCUUGACGGUAUCUGACCAGAAAGCCACGGCUAACUACGUGCCAGCAGCGGC